AGAGAGAGGGGGCGGGUGCUACCUGGCAGCUCCGCGGGUGCGUGGCCGGUGCUGGCUGGGAGUUCUGGUCUCAGGCAAGGUGGGGACUGGGCACAUCAUCAAUACGAGAAGAUCUUUAACUCCUCCAACCAUGAAGACCUUCAGAAGAUGAAAUUCCUGCCCAGGAGAGUGGAUGCCCACAGAGACACUGGUUGUUUCAUAUUCUGCCUACUAAAGACUUAUCUGUAUUCAAGGAAUCAUGGAAAACUAGAAGAGUUUCAAGUGACAGGCAAAUGUCCAAUUUUCUGAAGAAAAAAGACACCUUUUACCUCCUCCAUGAUAGAGAACGUCACUUUUCACCAUGAAGGGUUCUUCUGGAGGUGUUGGUUUAAUGGGAUUGUGGAAGAGAAUGACUCCAAUAUUUGGAAGUUCUGGUACACCAAUCAGCCACCGUCCAAGAACUGCACACAUGCUUACCUGUCUCCGUACCCCUUCAUGAGAGGCGAGCACAACUCGACCUCCUAUGACUCUGCAGUUAUUUACCGUGGUUUCUGGGCAGUCCUGAUGCUCCUGGGG
rnacentral:lncRNA from 1 species